CUGGCCUCCACCGGGUGGUUUGGAAAAGUAUUACGGAUACAGAAGGUUCCAAAAGGCUCAACCCGAUCUGUGAAUGGAUAUGUGCAGUCCUAUCUAGGCAGGAAAAACUUCUAUUGGGAGAUGUCGAAGAACUACUAGAAUCCAAGUCAAGGGAUAUUGCGGAGCAGAAUUAUAUCAAGCACUUGAUGAGUCACAUGUUGGGCUCCAAGUAUAUAGAUUGCGGGAUUCUUGUCGCUGUAUCCAGGGAAUUUCUGGAGUCCAUUAGAAAGACUAUCCAUGAUCAGCGUCCUGCCUGGCGAAUUGAUGCUGCAGAAGUUGAUGUCUUAUGUGAUUUCUGCAUUUCUUAUUUCUGACCAUUCAGUUUUCACUGCUUUAUCUCAGGUUCUCCUAGAAUGGGCAUCUGCGUCGCAGUAGAAAUAAAGGCAAACUUCAUUGACCUGGAUAUGAAACCUCUGCAGAACAUGGUUCAUUACUACGAGUUAGAUCAGAAGAUCGCGAACUUCUAUAUUAAGAGUGAGGACCUAGGAGGAAGUCCAUGCGAUUCUACAACCCGAGGUACCAAGGACAGGAAGAUUCAAUGUCAACAAUGAAAAAAAGUCCUGAGUUUGAAUAUCAUGGAAGUGUUUCUCAAAAAAAAAAAAAAAAAACAAAAAAAGAAGGAACAAGAAUGGAGUUAGCUGAAAGUAUCUCCUAUAUGUUGGAUUUUGGUCAAUUUAUGUUACUUGCUCCUUGAUAUUGAAAACUUUCAGGCAUGUCAGAGUAUGUAUUUAUGUUUUGAACAACAAGAAAAAUUGUAAGUUGUACUAAUAGUAACGUGCGUUCAAGCCCAAGCACUGCUUCCUUUAUGGAGUGGCAUUCAUGCAUCUACAACUGCCAUUAUCUAUAACUAUAAAAAACUGUAGUGUCAGUGGAUAUAUCAUGUACGAAGUGUAAGAAGAAGGUUAUGAAAUUGGUUGCAGGGAUAGAAGGCAUAGAUUCCAUCGUCCUUGAUCCACCUAAAGGAUUGGUCACGGUCAUAGGAGAUGCAGACCCAUCUGAGAUCAUCAGAAAGACGAGGAAGUUCAGGAAUCGGCACAAUUCGUUAGUAUAGGUCCACCCAAGGAAGAGAAGAAGGAUGGAAAGAAAGACACUGGUCCUCGUUUUCCAACGAUUUGUCAGAAGUGUGAUGUAUGGUAUGUGAUCAGGGAGGAUGAUUAUAACUACUGUUCCAUCUUAUAAGUGAUGCUGAUAAGCGAACAAUAGAAAUCAGUUGUUCUAUUUGUCAUUUCUGAAUCUUACAAUGCAGUAGGUCUCCCCUUUUCCCAAUUAUCAUUUCAUAUUUUCUGAGAAUAUUUGUCAUGGAACCAGGAAAGCAAGUAUUAGAAUUUUUUCAUGUGUUAAUCUUGGUCAAAAAGUCGCAAAUUUGAUGAUUUUUCAUGUUAUUUUAGCA